rnacentral:rRNA from 1 species
CCUACGGGAGGCAGCAGUGAGGAAUAUUGGUCAAUUGACGAGAGUCUGAACCAGCCAAGUAGCGUGAAGGAUGACUGCCCUAUGGGUUGUAAACUUCUUUUAUAUGGGAAUAAAAUGUUCCACGUGUGGGAUUUUGUAUGUACCAUAUGAAUAAGGAUCGGCUAACUCCGUGCCAGCAGCCGCGGUAAUACGGAGGAUCCGAGCGUUAUCCGGAUUUAUUGGGUUUAAAGGGAGCGUAGGUGGAUUGUUAAGUCAGUUGUGAAAGUUUGCGGCUCAACCGUAAAAUUGCAGUUGAAACUGGCAGUCUUGAGUACAGUAGAGGUGGGCGGAAUUCGUGGUGUAGCGGUGAAAUGCUUAGAUAUCACGAAGAACUCCGAUUGCGAAGGCAGUUCACUGGACUGCAACUGACACUGAGGCUCGAAAGUGUGGGUAUCAAACAGGAUUAGAUACCCGAGUAGUC